AGCAGCCGCGGUAAUUCCAGCUCCAAUAGCGUAUAUUAAAGUUGUUGCAGUUAAAAAGCUCGUAGUUGAAUUUCGGGAUCAGUACGCUGGUCGUGCCUUUGGUAUGUACUGGUGUCACUGAUUCCUCCCUUCUGAAGAACCGUUAUGCCAUUUAUUUGGUGUGGCGGGAAAUCAGGACUGUUACUUUGAAAAAUUAGAGUGUUUAAAGCAGGCUCGCGCUUGAAUACAUUAGCAUGGAAUAAUGAAAUAGGACGUUUGAUCUUAUUUUGUUGGUUUCUAGGAUCGAUGUAAUGAUUAAUAGGGAUAGUUGGGGGCAUUAGUAUUCAAUUGUCAGAGGUGAAAUUCUUGGAUUUAUUGAAGACUAACUACUGCGAAAGCAUUUGCCAAGGAUGUUUUCAUUAAUCAAGAACGAAAGUUAGGGGAUCGAAGACGAUCAGAUACCGUCGUAGUCUUAACCAUAAACUAUGCCGACUAGGGAUCGGAUGAUGUUAAUUUUUAAUGACUCAUUC
rnacentral:rRNA from 1 species